CCGGCGACCGGCGCACGGGUGAGUAACACGUAUGGAACCUGCCCGCAGCAGGGGGAUAAGCGGAAGAAAUUCCGUCUAAUACCGCGUAACAACGUUGGGAGGCAUCUCCCGAUGUUUAAAGAUUUAUCGGCUGCGGAUGGCCAUGCGGCGCAUUAGCUAGUCGGCGGGGUAACGGCCCACCGAGGCGACGAUGCGUAGGGGUUCUGAGAGGAAGGUCCCCCACACUGGUACUGAGACGCGGACCAGACUCCUACGGAAGGCAGCAG
rnacentral:rRNA from 1 species